ACAGAGAAAAUGUCAGCACUUGCCCUUUUAAUCUUGACAGCAAUAGCUUUUGUCACAGAUUGCAGUGGCCAGACUCUGACGCAGCCGACUUCAGCAUCUGUCCAGCCAGGUCAGACCGUCUCCCUCUCAUGUAAGGCCAGUACCUCCAUUAGCUAUUACCUGCACUGGUACCAUCAGAUAGCUGGCCAGGCUCCCAAACUGCUGAUAUAUUCUGCCACAAACCGUGAGUCUGGGAUUCCUGAGAGGUUCAGUGGUCAGUAUUCUGGGACCGAUUUCACCUUACAAAUAAGUGGAGUUCAGCCUGAAGACGCCGGCUAUUACUACUGUCAGCAGAGUAACAACUGGCCUCUCACAGUGAUAAAGAGCUGA